AGUGAACGCUGGCGGUAGGCCUAACACAUGCAAGUCGAGCGGCAGCACAGUAAGAGCUUGCUCUUACGGGUGGCGAGUGGCGGACGGGUGAGGAAUAAAUCGGAAUCUACUUUUUCGUGGGGGAUAACGUAGGGAAACUUACGCUAAUACCUCAUACGACCUACGGGUGAAAGCAGGGGAUCUUCGGACCUUGCGCGAUUGAAUGAGCCGAUGUCGGAUUAGCUAGUUGGCGGGGUAAAGGCCCACCAAGGCGACGAUCCGUAGCUGGUCUGAGAGGAUGAUAAGCCACACUGGAACUGAGACACGGUCAAGACUCCUACGGGAGGCAGCAGUGGGGAAUAUUGGACAAUGGGCGCAAGCCUGAUCCAGCCAUACCGCGUGGGUGAAGAAGGCCUUCGGGUUGUAAAGCCCUUUUGUUGGGAAAGAAAAGCAGCAGGUUAAUACCCCGCUGUUCUGACGGUACCCAAAGAAUAAGCACCGGCUAACUUCGUG
rnacentral:rRNA from 1 species